rnacentral:rRNA from 1 species
GGCCUUUUGAAUUUAAUUUAAGGUCUGACCUGCCCAGUGAUGAAUUUAACGGCCGCGGUAUAUUGACCGUGCAAAGGUAGAAUAAUCAUUAGUCUUUUAAUAGAGGGCUGGAAUGAAUGGUUUAACGAGGAACUAGCUGUCUCAUUUUAUUUGUUUUAGAAUUUAAUUUUUUAGUUAAAAAGCUAAAAUUUUAUUGGAAGACGAGAAGACCCUAUAGAUCUUUAUAUAAUUUUAUUUAUUUAUUUAUAUAUUAAUGUAAUUAUAUUUAAAUUAUAUUUUGUUGGGGUGACAAAAAUAUAUAAUUAACUUUUUCAUUUAUUUACCAUUUAUAUAUGAGUAUUAGAUCCAUUUUUAGUGAUUGUUAGAAUAAGUUACCUUAGGGAUAACAGCGUAAUCCUCCUCCAGAGUUCAUAUUUACAGGAGGGCUUGCGACCUCGAUGUUGGAUUAAGAUAAUAAUUAGGUGUAGCCGCUUAAUGUAUAGGUCUGUUCGACCUUUAAAUUCUU